rnacentral:lncRNA from 1 species
GCCGUCGCGACGCGCGCUUAUUCGUUACCAAAUCGUCAUCGACGCUUCGGCCAUACGGUCGCACGCAUUUCUCGGCCUUAUAGCUAUCGUAACUCCGAACCACCUGUUUCGCAAAAGUGUGCAAAAACGUAUCCGGCGAUCGAUCGGGGAGGGAAAAUAAACGGCCCCGAUUCCAAUAGAUCCGAUAUUUAUUCGUUAGAUUUAUUUGGACGAAAUCAGUCGGGGGAGAGCCGACUUUGCCGUUGAUAUUUCGCCCGCGAUUUUACCUCGUGGUAUCUUCGCCCCGCUCACUACCUGGUUCAUCGAAUCCGGUGCACGGUCACCAAUGGGGACUUACGAUGUUCUUAUGACGUCGACGGAGCGCAACCGUGGUCGACCGAGGACCAGUUCGUACUUACAGUAAAGGUUUCCGAGAGUGGUCAGUUUGAAAAUUGAAAUUGGACCAAAGUGCAAAUCGUCGACAAUCAUUCGAUUGUAAUUUACCUGGUUUAAUAUGAACUGUGAUAACGUCGGCACUUUGUCACUACCAUGAGAUUACGAAAGUGAUCGGGAUAGACAGACGUUUUUUAAACGUGUCCGUUUCAGCUUUUCCCUCGUUAUCCGACGAGGUAUUCGAGAGUUGAAAGACCAUUGAAAUCAUUCGAAAUACAAAAAAGUCAAGGAAACAAUCAGUGUCAGAAGACACGGUAAAGUGAUAGUGAGAAGCACCAUUGGAUUAUGCUUUUUGGAUAGCCAACGAGGCGACGUCUUUGCGACGCGCCGCUUCAGGAUCAUGAAGAAGCCUUCGAAAUAACGACGAACGGAGAACCGUAGGACCUGCAGCGCGUCCACGUCCGCGGUUUAACUUUCGUGAGGUAUAUUGGACGAAUAAUAUAAAUAUAUAUUUAUACGUAUUUGAUAAUUAAUCCAUCGGGAAGUCGAGAGCGGAGCCUAAGGGCAGAGACAACGCGGUGAGAUGGAGGGGACGGGAAUCCAGGUACCUGAUAACGCUUAUCUGGAGCCGCGAUAGCCGUGCGGCGCCGCUUCAGUCGUGGACCUCAGGUGCUUGUAGCCAGAUCGAAUCGAGCUCGGAACUUUUUGACCCACGUCAAAGCGAAUUGGAAGUUAAUUUUUCAAAAGAUUUCAGUGCGGGAUUCGUGUGAUCCGCGUUAUCGGGAAAGGAUAUCGAAGCGAAGGGAGCCGAAGGGCGCAAAGAACCGCGGCGCGGCGAGUUUUCUAAUUUGCCAUAUUUCGUAUCGACAAGCGCGAGUAACGGUGAGAACGCGUUAUAAACGACAAGGGCGAACUCCGACGUUGGAAUUCUGGGUAAAAAACGGGAAGCUCGCAUCAACCGACCCGGCAAGCUCAGUUAAAUUAUUCCGCAGCCAGUUUCGCACUCACUUGAGCGAGCGGGGGCAUCCACCGACGGAAACUGCAUUACAGACGCAGUCGCACGACUAAAUGCGCCACUCGCAAUCCGUCUGUAACUUGGAAAGACCGCCUUUGACACCUCACACUUGCCAACAGGCUUCACCAGCCUUUCUGCCGACUACUCCUCUUUAACCUGCCACAACGCUCUAAGAGCCCCGCAGGAACAAAGGAACUACACCGAAACUCGUCGGGGCCCCCUAUCCCCGGUGUGCAGACCAAGUUUCUAAUUAAACUUGAACUUUUAAUUGACUUAUUAUAAAGCUGCACCUUCUUCACUAAGCGGAAGGCUUUUCUCCACCUACUUUAGCCAGACCUUUAUACGGCAACCGGGUGCGUUUCUGUUGUUGCCGGUGGUUCUUACCCCGGUGUUGUUACCGCUUGAAAACGGCUGCGGUCUAGUGCGUUCGCGAGACUCUUUUCGGGUCUGAAGAGAUCGGUCUGGUCCGUCGAUACGAUCCGCGGGAAAAAGGAAAUCCGCGUGAAUCGCUCCGCAAGGGAAAUCGGUCGACCGGUAAUCCGAUAUCUGAUCAAUCGACGUAGGUGAUUUCUGGUAGCUUCUGGUUACUUGGGUCGUCCGUCGGUAAUCGAAAGUACAACGAAUCUAGACAGUUGGAACAAUUGACUAGUCAUUCUUAUAACGAGUGUUUAGUGAGCUUUACAAUUGCCAAAUAUAGUAACAUAUAUAUAUAUCANUAUAUAUAUAUACACUGACCAAAUAUUAGUGAAUUAAACCAAAGUGAACCAAAGAAAAAGAAAGAAGUUAACGUGUGUGAAAACUUGAUCUGUUACGUACGUCGACAUACAUACACGUAGAUAAAAUCGCGAGUUGAACCGUGCGCUGUGAAUUUUGAUAUAUUCUUAAAAAGAAAAGAAAAAAA